GAUGAACGCUGGCGGCGUGCCUAAUACAUGCAAGUCGAGCGAACAGACGAGGAGCUUGCUCCUUCGACGUUAGCGGCGGACGGGUGAGUAACACGUAGGUAACCUACCUAUAAGACUGGGAUAACUUCGGGAAACCGGAGCUAAUACCGGAUAAUAUUUUGAACCGCAUGGUUCGAUAGUGAAAGAUGGCUUUGCUAUCACUUAUAGAUGGACCCGCGCCGCAUUAGCUAGUUGGUAAGGUAACGACUUACCAAGGCAACGAUACGUAGCCGACCUGAGAGGGUGAUCGGCCACACUGGAACUGAGACACGGUCCAGACUCCUACGGGAGGCAGCAGUAGGGAAUCUUCCGCAAUGGGCGAAAGCCUGACGGAGCAACGCCGCGUGAGUGAUGAAGGUCUUCGGAUCGUAAAACUCUGUUAUUAGGGAAGAACAAACGUGUAAGUAACUGUGCACGUCUUGACGGUACCUAAUCAGAAAGCCACGGCUAACUACGUG
rnacentral:rRNA from 1 species